GCCGGGCGCGGUGGCACAUGCCUGUAGUCCUAGCUGCUCAGGAGGCUGAGGUAGGAGGAGCACUUGAGCCCAGGAGUUCUGGGCUGUAGUGCGCUAUGCCGAUCACGUGUCCGCACUAAGUUUGGCAGGAAUACAGUGACCUUCCGAGGAGCGGGACACCACGAGGUUGUAUAAGGAGGGGUGAACCGGCCCAGGAUGGAAAAGGAGCAGGUCAAAACUCCGUGCUGAUCUGUAGUGGGAUCCUGCCGGUGAAUAGCCAAUUGUACUCCAGCCUGAGCAAAUAGCCAGAGCCAUCUCU
rnacentral:SRP_RNA from 1 species